UAGUUAAGCAAAAUUCUUUAUUAUCAAAGCCUUUUACAGGAUAAAGUUUUAGCUGAUUUAAAAAAGAUGCAAAAUGUUAUUCUCAAGGAGCUUGCAGAAAUAAAAGUUCUUUUAAAAGAAGUUUUAGAAAUUAAGUUUCAGGCUAC